CAGUCGCCACGGUAAUACAGAGGGUGCGAGCGUUAAUCGGAAUUACUGGGCGUAAAGCGCGCGUAGGUGGUUUGUUAAGUUGGAUGUGAAAGCCCCGGGCUCAACCUGGGAACUGCAUCCAAAACUGGCAAGCUAGAGUACGGUAGAGGGUGGUGGAAUUUCCUGUGUAGCGGUGAAAUGCGUAGAUAUAGGAAGGAACACCAGUGGCGAAGGCGACCACCUGGACUGAUACUGACACUGAGGUGCGAAAGCGUGGGGAGCAAACAGGAUUAGAUACCCGCGUAGUCCCUGUCUCUUAUAC
rnacentral:rRNA from 1 species